rnacentral:rRNA from 1 species
GAACGAGGCCCUCUUCCUUCGGGAGGAGGUGUCCUAGUGGCGAACGGGUGAGUAACACGUUGGUGACCUACCCCGAAGAGGGGGACAACCCCGGGAAACUGGGGCUAAUACCCCAUGUGAUCCAGAGCGUUAGAGGGCUUUGGAUGAAAUGGAUGCUUCGCAUUCGCUUCGGGAGGGGCCUGCGGCCUAUCAGCUAGUUGGUGAGGUAACGGCUCACCAAGGCGACGACGGGUAGGGGACCUGAGAGGGUGACCCCCCACACUGGAACUGAAACACGGACCAGACACCUACGGGUGGCAGCAGUAGGGAAUAUUGCACAAUAGGCGAAAGCCUGAUGCAGCAACGCCGCGUGCGCGAUGAAGGCCUUCGGGUUGUAAAGCGCUUUUCUGGGGGAAGAGAAAGGACGGUACCCCAGGAAUAAGUCUCGGCUAACUACGUGCCAGCAGCCGCGGUAAAACGUAGGAGGCAAGCGUUAUCCGGAUUUACUGGGCGUAAAGCGCGUGCAGGCGGUUUGGUAAGUCGGACGUGAAAGCUCCCGGCUCAACUGGGAGAGGCCGUUC